GCUUUCUUCAGAGCCUGCUUGGCAGAGACCGGGAAAUCUCAUCGGUAGAGGCUGUAGGAAUUUGCUAAAUGAGGCAGAAAGAUUGUGAGCUCCUGAAGGGCAGGGACUGUCUUGCUUCUUUUUGGAUCUCCCAGACUUGGCACAUAUUGGAUGCUUGGUCAUAGAUGCCUCCCAUUUCCUCUGGUAGACCCUGUAUUCAAGACCAUGGAUUCAGCCUGCCCCACAACUCAGAAGGGCCUAGAAUUCUAGGAAAAGAGCUAGGAGACUCUCAGAAUUACUUCUGCUGGAAC